UUCCCGUACGAUCAACGAAGUUAAGCAACGUGGAGUCUGGUCAGUACCUAGAUGAGUGACCAUUUGGGAAUACCAGGUUCUGCAAG